rnacentral:rRNA from 1 species
UAGGGAAUAUUGCGCAAUGGGGGAAACCCUGACGCAGCAACGCCGCGUGAGUGAGGAAGGUCUUCGGAUUGUAAAACUCUUUUAUUUGGGAAAAAUGACUUAGCGGUUAAUACCCGUUAGGAGUGAUGGUACCAAAGGAAUAAGCACCGGCUAACUUCGUGCCAGCAGCCGCGGUAAUACGAAGGGUGCAAGCGUUGUUCGGAAUUAUUGGGCGUAAAGCGCGCGCAGGCGGAUUUGUAAGUCAGAUGUGAAAUCUCGAGGCUCAACCUCGAAACUGCGUCUGAAACUACAAGUCUAGAAUGUCGGAGGGGGCAGGGGAAUUUCACGUGUAGGGGUAAAAUCCGUAGAGAUGUGAAGGAACACCGGAGGCGAAGGCGCCUGCCUGGACGACUAUUGACGC